rnacentral:rRNA from 1 species
CUCUCGCGCUAAGAUUAGCCCAGGUGGGAUUAGCUAGUUGGUGAGGUAAAGGCUCACCAAGGCAACGAUCCCUAGCUGGUCUGAGAGGAUGAUCAGCCACACUGGAACUGAGACACGGUCCAGACUCCUACGGGAGGCAGCAGUGGGGAAUAUUGCACAAUGGGGGAAACCCUGAUGCAGCCAUGCCGCGUGUAUGAAGAAGGCCUUCGGGUUGUAAAGUACUUUCAGUCGUGAGGAAGGCAUUGUAGUUAAUAGCUGCAGUGCUUGACGUUAGCGACAGAAGAAGCACCGGCUAACUCCGUG